GCCCUUAGAGUUUGAUCCUGGCGCAGGAUGAACGCUGGCGGCGUGCUUAACACAUGCAAGUCGAACGAAGCACUUUAACCUGAUUCUUCGGAUGAUGGUUUUUGUGACUGAGUGGCGGACGGGUGAGUAACGCGUGGGUAACCUGCCUCAUACAGGGGGAUAACAGUUAGAAAUGACUGCUAAUACCGCAUAACACCACGGAGCCGCAUGGCUCAGUGGGAAAAAACUCCGGUGGUAUGAGAUGGACCCGCGUCUGAUUAGGUAGUUGGGGGGGUAACGGCCUACCAAGCCAACGAUCAGUAGCCGACCUGAGAGGGUGACCGGCCACAUUGGGACUGAGACACGGCCCAAACUCCUACGGGAGGCAGCAGUGGGGAAUAUUGCACAAUGGGGGAAACCCUGAUGCAGCGACGCCGCGUGAGCGAAGAAGUAUUUCGGUAUGUAAAGCUCUAUCAGCAGGGAAGAAAAUGACGGUACCUGACUAAGAAGCACCGGCUAAAUACGUGCCAGCAGCCGCGGUAAUACGUAUGGUGCAAGCGUUAUCCGGAUUUACUGGGUGUAAAGGGAGCGUAGACGGCUGUGUAAGUCUGAAGUGAAAGCCCGGGGCUCAACCCCGGGACUGCUUUGGAAACUAUGCAGCUAGAGUGUCGGAGAGGUAAGUGGAAUUCCCAGUGUAGCGGUGAAAUGCGUAGAUAUUGGGAGGAACACCAGUGGCGAAGGCGGCUUACUGGACGAUGACUGACGUUGAGGCUCGAAAGCGUGGGGAGCAAACAAGAUUAGAUACCCUGGUAGUCCACGCCGUAAACGAUGACAAAUGGGUGUCGGGGAGCAAAGUUCUUCGGUGCCGCAGCAAACGCAAUAAGUAGUCCACCUGGGGAGUACGUUCGCAAGAAUGAAACUCAAAGGAAUUGACGGGGACCCGCACAAGCGGUGGAGCAUGUGGUUUAAUUCGAAGCAACGCGAAGAACCUUACCUGCUCUUGACAUCCCGGUGACCGGCAUGUAAUGAUGCCUUUUCUUCGGAACACCGGUGACAGGUGGUGCAUGGUUGUCGUCAGCUCGUGUCGUGAGAUGUUGGGUUAAGUCCCGCAACGAGCGCAACCCUUAUCUUCAGUAGCCAGCAUUUUGGAUGGGCACUCUGGAGAGACUGCCAGGGAUAACCUGGAGGAAGGUGGGGAUGACGUCAAAUCAUCAUGCCCCUUAUGAGCAGGGCUACACACGUGCUACAAUGGCGUAAACAAAGGGAAGCAAACCUGCGAGGGUAAGCAAAUCUCAAAAAUAACGUCUCAGUUCGGAUUGUAGUCUGCAACUCGACUACAUGAAGCUGGACU
rnacentral:rRNA from 1 species